rnacentral:rRNA from 1 species
UACGAAGGGGGCUAGCGUUGCUCGGAAUCACUGGGCGUAAAGCGUGCGCAGGCGGUUUGUUAAGACAGAUGUGAAAUCCCCGGGCUUAACCUGGGAACUGCGUUUGUAACUGGCAAGCUAGAGUGUGGCAGAGGGGGGUGGAAUUCCAAGUGUAGCAGUGAAAUGCGUAGAUAUUUGGAGGAACACCAAUGGCGAAGGCAGCCCCCUGGGUUAACACUGACGCUCAUGCACGAAAGCGUGGGGGGCAAACAGG